rnacentral:lncRNA from 1 species
CUCGGCGAGUCAGUGGGGUGACUCGGCGAGUAGGGUUGACCUGGAAGGUUGACUUUGACCAGAGUUGACUUGGUUGACUGUCAGACUAAGUGUUAUAUGUAUAUUGAUAGCUCGGAGAGCUAGAGGAGCAGCGGUUCAGGGGAUUGUUGAGUAGCAGCCAGAGGUUUAUCAGCAGAGCUCAGCAGUUCAGGUGAGUUUCCUUCCAGUAGGAACGGGUCUAAGGCCACAAUGCCGGCCCGUUUAGCUAGCAGUAGUUUUCGGAUGUUGAUCUGAUAUAGUAGUUAGUAUGUUUGAUGCCUUCGUGGCUCAGACAGGAUUUAUGUGUUAUGUGUUCCGGGCUACGGCCCGAAGUAGUAUGCAGUAUACGUGUGUUCAUGCUAGUUGAUAUGUUUAUGUUAUGUUCUGUUCAGUUAGCCCGGACUUCGGUCCGAUGCAGGGGACAAGGUCCCAGUUAGUCCGGACUUCGGUCCGAUGCAGGGGGCAAGGCCCCAGUUAGCCCGGACUUCGGUCCGAUGCAGGGGACAAGGUCCCAGUUAGUCCGGACUUCGGUCCGAUGCAGGGGGCAAGGCCCCAGUUAGCCCGGACUUCGGUCCGAUGCAGGGGACAAGGUCCCAGUUAGUCCGGACUUCGGUCCGAUGCAGGGGGCAAGGCCCCAGUUAGCCCGGACUUCGGUCCGAUGCAGGGGACAAGGUCCCAGUUAGUCCGGACUUCGGUCCGAUGCAGGGGACAAGGUCCCAGUCAGUUUCCGGACUUCGGUCCGAUGCAGGGGGCAAGGCCCCAGUUAGUCCGGACUUCGGUCUGAUGCAGUGGGCAAGGCCCAAUAUGUGCUUUAUAUGUUUUUGUGUGGUAUGUGGUAGAUUGGGGGAGCUCACUAAGCUUCGUGCUUACGGUUUUCAGUUUUGGUUUCAGGUACUCGGUUUUCAAAAGAGGAGCUCGGGAAGAUUGCAGAGCACACACCAUAGUCAGUUAGCCUGGGAAUGUUUGACUCUGAUAAUGAUAUUAUGUUUUGAAUUUAAUACUCAAAAGUUAUGUUUGACUUAUGAUACGUUGUUAUAAAUCUAUUUUUAGUAAUGUUUAAAAGAAAUUUUUAGUCAUGAUUUUUGGGUCGUUACAAUUUGGUAUCAGAGCCUUGGUUUGAGGGAUUCGGGCGCACUCCUGAGUGUGUUUGAACUCAAACUAAGGAAGUGGUAUAUAGUUUUCAAAAGAAAAAUCGUAGUUACAAAAGAAUUUUGAGAAAAGAAAACAAUUUUUAGAAAAAGCAAAAAGAGUUUUGAAAAGAGAAAAGGGUGUGGUGCAUGCAAUCAGCCGAGCUCAAGUAAGUACUCCCAAUUUACCCAUACAAGUUAUAUUAUGAUUAUCAGUAUCGGUUUCAGUUUCAGUUUCAGUUCCAGCUUCAGUAGAACAGCAUGCUAGAAUAGGACUAAGGAUCUAGGAUGAUGCCUUAUGUGCCUGCUUUAUGUGUUCAGCUUUAUGAGAAUUGCAUGCUAGUAUUGAGUAGACAGCAGUAGGAUAGCCUGUUUAGGUUAUGCCUGGUAGCACGAGCUUAGCAUUGUAUGCUAGUGUAGUUUCUCGUUAUGAGAAUAGUUUUGCCUGAGUAUGUCUCCUUUAUCCGAAUGCUGCUUGCUUUGUGCUUUGUGGGACUCUGAGUGAUGGGAGUUAGCCAUUAGGUGAAUACGUCACAUCACAUGUGAUCAGGGUUGAAUAAUCUCAGAGUGCUGGAUUUGGCCCUACUGCGCAGCUCUCGUUUGAGUCCAACCGUUGUAGGGACGAGACUUUUACUCGAAGGAUUAUCCGAGCCUCAUUACAUGUGAUGGUAUUCAGGUGGUGGCUAAUUGGCAUUACAAGGAGGCCUUCAGCAGCUGAGGACUGGUUUGAGUAGAGUCAGAGAUUCCCUAGGGCAAGCCUAGGAUGAGAGUAGCAGAGAUCAGUUGAAGAGUAAAGGGGACUUGGUGGAGUUGAGGUAACUCUUGAGGAAAGUACGGAUAGAUGUGGAAGGUAGUAGGGGCCCAUACUACUGAAAGCAGAGGAUCCGUAUUCGAUUCAAGAGGGGCCGAGGCAAAAUCAAGGAACUAGUAGAGUAUGCGAGAAAUUCCUCAGCAGUAGUAUGUAAAUUGAUCAGGAUUUUGUUAUAUUUUCAGCAUGGUGACGUUGCGCGAGAUACCAGUUAGCAGUUCAGGUGUCGAGGAGGGGUCUGGCUCGGGCUUCAGAGCCGGGCAGCUUGAUGAUCAGAUGAGGGAUUUCAUUUCCGCAGAGAUUACGCGCAACAUCAUUGAUCAGACUCCAGUGAUUUUCGGUUCGGUUAGAGAGGCCAUUGUGGAGCUCAUGGACAGUCAUCUUGAGGCCUUUAAGGCCGGGUUAGUUUCAGGACAGAUUGGGGCUCGUCUAGGUCCCGAAUCUUAUGGAGUUCAGGGAUCCAUCAGGGAGGGAGAUCCCAUUUCUAGUUCCUGCCAUCAGGGGGCAGGGGUGAGUGGGGAAUUCUGUCUCCAAGAGAGACCAUUGCAUGAUUGGAUAGUUGAGGAAGUUUCGUGAGCCAUUCGCGAGGAUCUGCCCGACAUGGUCGUGAGGAUCACUGAUAGAUUGAUAGCGAGGCUUCAGGAUCAGACAUCUGUUGUUCAGUUAGCAGGCGUUGCCGUUGGGGUAACGCAGGAGCGAGAGUCGGGCAGGGAGUCAGAAGGGAAAAGGAAAAUUGAUGAGACUCAGGUAGCCACAGGUUCGGGUAAGAGGCCCAAGGGUCCAGAUUUGAGGACGAGGAACUAUCAGAGCCGCAGUCGAUGCGGGAAGUGCGGAAGGACGCACAUGGGUGUGUGUAGGCGUAGAAGUGGUGGCGAUGCUGGGUGUUUCAAGUGCGGCCAGAUUGGUCAUUUUAGCAGAGACUGUGUUGUUACCAUCGCCCAGGGGCUUGAUCCGUUAUGUUUCCAUUGCAGUCAGAGGGGCCACAAGAAGGCCCACUGUCCGAGUUUGUAUCCAGCAGGGCAGGUGCCAGCUCCUGCCCUUGGGACUUCGAGUACCGCCAGCAGUUGUCGAGGCCGGGCAAGGGUGCCUACGGCUCAGAGCCGAGUUUUCCGGUAGAUUUCAGCAGGGAUUCGAGCAGCACUGAGUAAUGAAGGUACGUAACUUUUGUUUUUCUGUCAGCUUAUGUCAUGAUUAUAUUGUUAUGGUUCUGCAUCAAAUUGUGGUAUAAGUGUUGUGUUAUAGUGUGGCUUGCUUGUGAUUAUGUUAUAUGCCAUUUGCAUACCUCGGAUAAUUGGUUGGUAGUUAGGGGAUGUGCUCUUAUGGAGAAGGUUUCGGAGGAUGCAGUAACUGUAGCAUGGUUGAGAGAGAUUUGGUUCGUUUCACUAGUUCGGAGUGGUUAGUGAUUGGGAUGGAUUGGUUAAAUUCCUACCUGGCAGGCUUGGGUUCCCUAGUAGAUGUUCCGGAAUGGUAGUGAAGAUCAGGAUCUCUUUUGAGUGUGAAGCAGCAAGGGGUAAGCAGGAUCGAAGUGGGGGAGAACCCUCCGAGUAUUCAUGGAUAAGAGACACGUAGACCCAGAAUGAGUGCGCAGCCUCCGAGAAGAAAUGGUAGUAGCACAGUGAUGGAUGGAUUGAGAAGUUCAGAAUUGGGAGUUCGAGAACUUUUCCCAGCAGUUAGUUCAUGUAAUCGAGAUGGUUAGAAGCUGGUUGGGAAUCCAGGAUUGGAGGACCACCUGUCGGACGCAUGAGAGUCGGAAUGAAGAUCCUGAGAACGGGUAACAAGAGAUGUUUUCGUAUUAGUAGCCAGUGUCUGAGGCAGCAUGCAGGUUGCGUAGAUUCAGGAGUUGGGAGGUUGGAAACUUCCCAACAAUAGCUUCUUGUAUCCGGAUUAGUAGACGGUUGGUUUGGGAACCAAGCCGAAGAAUUCCUCGACGAAGCGCUAAGUAUAUCAAGGAUAUAAGAUGUCGAGGAUGAUGCAGAAUUCAAAGACUGAGGACUGGUUUGAGAAAUCGGGAUGAGGAAUCACUAGCGGAACUAGGGAUAGUCAGGAUGUCCUCGGGAUAGAGUAGUAGUAGUGGUGUUGUAAGUCUGCGGGGGUAGCCGUAGCAUUCACUAGUAGCCAUAUAGUACUAGAGAGUUGUAAGUCCGCGAGCGUAGUCGCAGCCUUUAUCAGAUUGGUAGGUGGCAUGAGCGCGUGUUGGACGCGGAAAAGUAGUAGUACCCACCAGUUCUAGUGCAGCAGUGAGGAUAUGGGAAUCCACGGGUUAGAUUUCGGAUUUCCCAAAUGGUUCAGUGAUGGCUAAGUCAGCAAUUUUGGCUAUAGAACGUUGCAUCAGUUAUGAGAUCAGAGUAGUAGUGGACCGUUGGGGUUCGGGUAUGUUAAGGGCUACCGUCAGUCUGGGAGCCAUCAUGAUGUUAGUCGUGGAAUUGAUGAUGUCAGGAUGUGACAUAUGGACCCGAUCGGUUGGAUCGGAAGGUUGCUAGAGCCACAGUGACAGGAUAACUAGUGGAAACUAGUCCUAGAGGAAGAUUUCGUUCAGGAGUCGUGGAAGCGACUAAGUGAGGAGUCCCUUGACUCCACAGUUGGGUUGGAGUUCAGUGUUUCAGGCAGCUCAGUGUUUCAGCCAGUUCAGUGUUUCAGGCAGCUCAGCGUUUCAAGCAGUUUAGUGUUUCAGGCAUGUUCAUUAUUGCAGGCAGUUCAGUGUUUGGAAGGUUCAGGGUUUUGGGUCAGUAGUGUAUUUGUGUUGGAAUGCAAGUGCUGACGGUAUAGUUGGUUGAUUUGGAAAUGGCAAGUACCUCUCAGCAGGAUCAGUUGAGCCUUUUGCCGAGUAUAAGUGAUCUGUAAGGAUAGCUAGGCAGGUAGCUUUUCAUUCAGGAGGGAAGGCUCGAGUUAGUAGGAGAUGAGUAAUCAGGUGGGAUAAAAGCAAGCUGGUUCCAGCAGCAUCGUUUCUGUAUGAGCGGCAGAAUGGAUAGAACAGUUAUAGAUAGUCGAAGUAUCUUCAGGAGUCGCUGGAAGAGACUAGGAGUUUGCGAUGGAGUGUAGUGACCGGUGGGAGUCCGGUAACUCAGAUAUCGGGAGAUUGGUUAGACCAGAAUAGUCUCAGUGCAUCCGGUAGGCGGAUGGGAGGCAGCAGGAUUUUCAGUCGGAGGAUGUAACGUUGAGGAAAUUAUGGAAAAGAGAAGGAUCCAGUAUGUUCCAUCGGUAAUGAUCGACAUGGUGAGUGGCUGGAGUGUCGGACAAAAGGGUGUUAGAUUUUCCAGACAGAGAGUUGGAGGCAGUUCGCAGGCAGUUGAUCAUAGCAAACUUCGAGGACGAAGUUUAGUUUAAGUGGGGGAGAGUUGUAACACCCCAAAGUUUGGAAAGCCAAGAAAAGAAAGAAAACCUCAAGUUUAGGGGAGACUCGGCGAGUCCAUGGAGGGACUCGGCGAGUCCGAGCGGGAUCCGGGUUGUGGUGAAAGCGACCGACUCGGCGAGUCGGCCAAGGAGACUCGACGAGUUGGGUCUGAUCGAGGAAAACCCUAAAUCCGGGACUUGGAGCCUAUUUAAGCGUCUCAUUCUCUUUCCUAGGGUUCCUUUACUGCCUUUCUACCUCAGAACACCAAACCCUAGCCGCCAUAUCCGUUUUUGAGCUAGAUCUUGCCUUGAAGAGUGCACUAAAGCUUGGAGGAGGAAGAAAGACCUUGGAGGUGCAAGAAGGGACUGUAGAUCUGGGAUUGAGGAGUCAUUUCAGACCAAUUGGAGGUAAUAAGCUGUUGCUUGGACUCCCUUUGCAUCUAGAUCUAUUCUUAUGUGUGAGUUUUGGUCAUUAUUGGUAUGAUAUGUAACCAAUUCGAGUUGGAGGUUCAGAUCUGAGGUUGCUACCUCAGAUCCAUGUUGGUUUUGGUCUUGAAUCCCCUAAAGUAUCAGCCCUUGGUAUGUUGAAGAGGCAUGUUUGCCAUAAACCCUAGUUUAGUGUGUUUUGAGCAUAGAUCUCUCAAUCUACACGUAAAGUUUGCCACUUUACGUGGGGAAUAGGCCCUAGAAGUAUAGAUCUAUGAGUUGGAAGCUCUGUUUGGCUCGAAAAGCCACUGCAUGGAUUGAGGACUGGAUAGACUCGGCGAGUCCUUCGAGUGGACUCGGCGAGUAGCUUGAAGAUGAGGAGGAACUCGACGAGUAGGAUGAACAGCUCGUCGAGUCGGAUGAAGUUAGGCAUGGACUCGGCGAGUUGGAUGAACAACUCGACGAGUUGGUUGAAGAUUGUCUAGGACUCGGCGAGUCUGUUCUUGGACUCGGCGAGUCAGAUCGCGAAACCCUAAACCCUUUGAGUUGAGACUCGAAUCAGUGAGUCGGGUGGUGACUCAGCGAGUUGGACAGGACAGGACUUGGAACUAGUUGGACUCGGCGAGUCAUGGACUGACUCGGCGAGUCGGGUCGCGAAUAAGAAAGACCCUGAGCUUAUGAACUCGGCGAGUCUUUAGGAAGACUCGGCGAGUAAGGUUGACCUGGAAGGUUGACUUUGACCAGAGUUGACUUAGUUGACUGUCAGACUAAGUGUUAUAUGUAUAUUGAUAGCUCGGAGAGCUAGAGGAGCAGCGGUUCAGGGGAUUGUCGAGUAGCAGCCAGAGGUUUAUCAGCAGGGCUCAGCAGUUCAGGUGAGUUUCCUUCCAGUAGGAACGGGUCUAAGGCCACAAUGCCGGCCCGUUUAGCUAGCAGUAGUUUUCGGAUGUUGAUCUGAUACAGUAGUUAGUAUGUUUGAUGCCUUCGUGGCUCAGACAGGAUUUAUGUGUUAUGUGUUCCGGGCUACGGCCCGAUGUAGUAUGCAGUAUACGUGUGUUCAUGCUAGUUGAUAUGUUUAUGUUAUGUUCUGUUCAGUUAGCCCGGACUUCGGUCCGAUGCAGGGGACAAGGUCCCAGUUAGUCCGGACUUCGGUCCGAUGCAGGGGGCAAGGCCCCAGUUAGCCCGGACUUCGGUCCGAUGCAGGGGACAAGGUCCCAGUUAGUCCGGACUUCGGUCCGAUGCAGGGGACAAGGUCCCAGUCAGUUAGUCCGGACUUCGGUCCGAUGCAGGGGGCAAGGCCCCAGUUAGCCCGGACUUCGGUCCGAUGCAGGGGACAAGGUCCCAGUCAGUUUCCGGACUUCGGUCUGAUGCAGUGGGCAAGGCCCAAUAUGUGCUUUAUAUGUUUUGUGUGGUAUGUGGUAGAUUGGGGGAGCUCACUAAGCUUCGUGCUUACGGUUUUCAGUUUUGGUUUCAGGUACUCGGUUUUCAAAAGAGGAGCUCGGGAAGAUUGCAGAGCACACACCAUAGUCAGUUAGCCUGGGAAUGUUUGACUCUGAUGAUGAUAUUAUGUUUUGAAUUUAAUACUCAAAAGUUAUGUUUGACUUAUGAUAUAUUGUUAUAAAUCUAUUUUUAGUAAUGUUUAAAAGAAAUUUUUAGUCAUGAUUUUUGGGUCGUUACAGAAUGUUUAUGAAUUACUUUGAUGUUUUGAGAAUACUUUGACUCUGAUUGACUUUUGGAACAAUGAAUGAAUAGUUUUGACUUAUUAAAAAAGUAAUUUUUACUUUGUAUUUUUGGCAUGUUACAAAAUAGACUGUCAAAUAAAUGAUUCUACCCUAAGACCACAACCAGACGAGGAACUGGAAAUAAGGCUAAAUCACUCAUUCUAGGACUAAAUGAUCCUAACCUUAUAAAAAUUUCAAACUUACUUAGCAAUCAAUUGCACUAAUAUAGAUUCCAAAUCUAACAUAACAUCCAAUUCCUCUUAGGCUACAAGGCAUCAUAAAUCAGCCCAUUCUAUCAUGCAAUUCCUGAAGGUAUCCUUAGCCUUAUCAUAGCAUGCAAACAUUCAAUAGCAUAUAACAUAUAAACAUGUAUGGGUAUUCACGGAAUAACUUACUUGAGCUCGGCCGAUUGCACACAUCACACCCUCUUUUCUAUAUAAAAAUCUUUUAGAAAACUUAUUUUCUUUUGAAAUUUUUUUCCAAUUCCUCAAUUUGAGUUUAGACACACUAGAGAGUGUGCCUGAAUCCCUCAAACCAAAGCUAUGAUACCAACCUUUAACGUCCCAAAAUGUCCAUACAAUUUUUCAUUUUAAAACAUAGAGUCAUUCCAACGUUGGUUCCAAAAUCCAAUCAAUAUCAAUUGUAUUUUCAAACAUUAGAGUAUUUUCAAAGUGAACGAUACGGAAAGAGCCAUCGAGGGAUGCACUGCAGUCAAGAUGAGCCCUUCCUUAUGGAACUGGAAGUAACUUAAAAAUGUUUAAACCACAAAACGUAAGCACAAAGUUUAGUGAGUUCUCCAAAAUAACACAUACCAUAAAUAUCAUCGGGCCCAACUCGCAUAUUGGGCCCAAUCCAUAAUAACAGGCCCAUACCUUUAUAUCAAACGGCCCAACCCAACAUACAAAUGGUCCCAGCCCAAUCAUACACAUUGGCCCAACCCAAUCAUGAAAAUAGGCCCUACCCUACAUACAUACCAAUGGGCCCAGCCCAACAUUGUACAAGAGUCGCAAAAAAAACUAGCAUCCUACAUAGUAUUGUCAGAAAAUUCACUUGAAUCAAGAAAUCAACUAAACCACUGCUUAAAUCCCCGCAAUAGAUGUUGCAAUACCCCUAUCAAAACAUACAAGGUUCGAUCUUAGUUUAUACACUAAGUUCAGUCAGCUUGACCAAAAGUCAACCCAUGUCAACAAGUCAACGAUCAAGGUCAAAGUCAACAACCAAAACCUUAACCAUUAAGCCUUACGUCAUGACGAGCCCUUGAUCACAUUGUGAAAACUCACCUAGUCCGAUCCUAACUCGUUUCGUUCCAACUCAGCCAAAUCGGUCACGAACAACUAACUCAACACGCAUUAUGACGUGAACCCUCCUUAGCCACGUUGUGAGCAUAAUAGGGAAACCUAAUUGUGAAAACCAUCUUGGUCAUGUCGUGACACCCUUAGUGUCAUGUCGUGACAACCUUAGUGGCAUGUCGUGACCUUAGUCUAAAAUCUCCGCUUAAUGAUUUGAGUCCUUAAUCCAAUAAGUGUCCAACUCUAACUUUUAUAAAAGCUUAAGGGGACUCCAAAGGUCCGUAAAAAUGAUUACUUUAUGGACAUGCAUGCUUCAUGCAUAUCCUCAAUCAAUUCUAGGUCAUAAGUGAAGAAAUAACACCAAUACUCACAUACAUGGAUCCAAUACUCAAUCAAGUUCUAGAUCUGAACCUUAUGGUACUUAAGGGACCCUUGGAAAGUUGUCAUCUUUAUGAAUCCCUUCCAUUCAAGCUUGCUCAAACAUGAAGAUAAUAGGACAAAAACCUAGACAAUAACAGUAAGCAAUAAAGUUUCAAUCUAGGACAGUUACAAAGGUCCAGAAUUAGCACAAGAUGAUGAUGGAGUUUCCUUGCUAGAUCUACAACUAAAGCACCUUAUUUUCAUUCUUCUUCUUCUCCUUCCUCAAGCUACCAAAUGCACCAAAAGGAUAAGAACCACCAAGGGGAUUAGGGUUAGGGUUAGGGUUUUCGGAGGUUUGAGGGUGAUGGAAGCUGAUAAUGAAACCUAGGUUCAAGAUAAUUGGGUUGAAAUACGAAUGAAACCCUAAAAGAUCAUGGGAUUGGGCUGCAACCUUCCUCACGUCGUGAACACCUAUGUGUCUCGUCGUGAGCACUGAUCUGUUACGCGUUCUUCACUUUGGCCUGUCACUUCGUGACCACUCUUUGGUCAUGUCGUGACACCCGAUUUUCUCCAAAAACCAAGCUUUUAACUCCUUAAAACCCUAAAUUGAUCCAUCCUGUAAAAUGCGAGAGAAGCUGAGAAAUUUGAAAAUCACAACCUUGUGAAGAGUAAAAUCUGUUUUUCUAAGGCCUAGAGGGGUCUUUAUAUAAUUGUGGUAUUUAACAGAUAAACCUAAUUUGAAUCAAUUAAAUAAUCAGAUUUAAUCCUAAUUCAAAACUUUAUCCUUAUCUGCUACCUGAAAGAUUAUAGAAUCCUUUUGGAAGCUCCAAAAACUAUCCAUUCCUAUGGACCAUCCAAAAUGUUUAUUUUGCCCAACUAUUAAAAAAUUGACAUUCAGCCCCUGUACCUUUAAAAUAAAUCCAAAUAAAUUCCAAUUAAUCAUAAAUUAACUUUAAUUAAUGUUAACUUAGUUUCUAAUUAAUUUAUUAACUUGCAAUUAGUUCAUAAAUUAUUUGCCUCACUCUCUUUCUUUUGUAGCUACUUUAGCGUUUGAGGGAAACCCAAAAAAGAUUUUUUUUAUUACUCUAAAAGUUAUACCAAUUAGUUAUGACAUUGGACACAUAUUUCCAAUAGUCUCUCACUUAAACAAGUUAUCAACUACUAUUGGUUGAAUAAUAUUCGAAUAAAAAAAAAGCAUCCCUUCCACAACAACUACAGAACUUUGAUCUUAUCAAAAGCCAAACGUUAGAUAAUUGAUAAGUUAUUCAUUUGUUUAUAUAGGAUAUCAUUGUGAACCGAGUCAUCGAUAAUUAAUCAAAAUAACAAUUCUAUAUUUAGUUUCUCGGUUUCCGAUUUAUAAUGAUCAAAACAGACUAUUAAUUGAAUACAUCAAUUUAAUAUGGGUCAGACCUUACACUUAAAUGUCAUCAUCAAUGUAAAAAUUGCCAAAAUUAGGUCAAUUAUCCCUCUUACGAUCAAGCAUUCUUAUGUUUAAACACAUAUGUACUAGAGCUAAUGUAAUAUAUUUAAGUCAUUACGAUGCAAAUAAAGUUUAUAUAAUUUGAGAUGCAUACAUGAUAUCACAUAAAUCAUCGUAAAACAAACACAAACGUUGGUAAUUAUAUAUAAGUAAUAUUUGGAUAUAUAUGAAACGCUAAACAAAGAAUACACGUGAUUACGAAACCAUGGAUAUAAAGAAUUAAACCCUAAACCUUUAGCUGAUAGGCACAUAUCCAUCAACGCUAGGCCUGAUGCCUUUUGCCGUCAAUUUUAAUGAAGUGCAACACUUUUUUUAACAAAUGAAUUUUUAUAAAGAAAAUGAGAAAAGAAGCUAGUAAAAGAAAAACUAAUUACAAAUAAAUUGCAUUAACUAGAUUUUGGAGCCAAGAAUUCUAGUCACGUAGAAGUUUAUGAUUCAUAUUAAUAAAUUAAGUAAAUGAAUGAUCAAUUAUAAAUUCAAAGCUACUUUCCUUUCUGUGGUCAUUGUUGCCGAACACCAAGUCGUCACAAAAAUAGCUUCCAAUUUCGAUUUUCUCGAAUUCGACAUUCGCCCACAUAUACAUAUGAUCGACCGAAUUCAACCUUGGCAUGAUAAGAUCAAACAACAAAUUAAUAGCAUUCCAAGUCCUAACAACUUCUUUACACUUCAAAAAAGAAAAAAAUUAUUCAAUUCUUCGGAAAAAUUGGAACAUACAGGUCUUAGACCGAAGAAACUUCCACCCCUUUCAGUCAAGGUUUUAGUUGGUAACCGAUCCAACAAAAGCCUGAAAGACUAAUAAUUACCUUGUGACAUAUUAAUUCCACAUUAUAGUCCCAAUCCUAUCUAGUAAAAUAAAAUCAUUUGUACAUUUUCUAAUAAUAUUUACCGUAAAUUUAUUCGAAUAAUCCAAAGCCCUUAUUAAUUUGUCACAUCAACCACUAUGUUGAAAAUCUUAAAGUAAAAGUAAAAUUCCCACUAGUUGCAUAUUCUUGGUACCACCUUCUCACUUCACGUCUUCAAUUCCAUGUCUAUGUCAACCUGAAAAUCUUUUAUAAAACAAUAUUUCUCUCUUUCUAAGUAGAUUAACAACCCGCACAUCUUUCCAAAAUAUCGUUGACACACCAUCUCUUAUUUUGCCAAUCAACUAAUUUAUUUACCAUUAGGGGACGUGAAGAAUCUAACGACCCUUUAUGAACACAAAUUGCUUAAUGCUCCCAACAUAGUUCACCACUUGAGCAAGUCUACUAACUAGUAACUUUGCAAUGACCGUAUAUGGAACAAAAUUAGACUAAUGAGUGAGACAUAAAUCUUUCAACAACAUCACACGAGAAUCUUAAGGAAUCAUGGUGAUAAAAAAGAAUUGCAUUCCCUUGGUAUCUCAACAUACACAUAAAAUUCUCACACAAGCUCCAUAAUAUCACCUUUUGUGAUCUCUUAAUACCUUUUCAUAAAGCUAAAAGUGAAACCGUCUAGAUCCAAUGUUUUCUUUUACUUGUAUAUGCUUAAAUCGCAUCUUUCAUUUCUUGGAUAGUGAAAACCGACUCUAAAGGAGAAGCUUAAGGUGAAGAUAUGCAUUUGUACAUGGUGCUCUCAUUUUUAAUUCGAACACCUAUAAAAUUUCUGAAAUUUUCUUAAAAAAUAUCAAAAAGCACUUCUUAGUAAUUUGACUUGUAUUGUAAUAGCUAGAAUUAUGUUUAUCCUCUCCUAUAACUAUAACUGUAUAUUGGUUUGUAACCCCCACAAAAUAUGUUCUAUCUUUCGAGGAAAAAAAUUAUAUUUGGACCAAAUUCUGCAACGUAAUAUGUCAUAUCACAAAUUCACAACCAAAUAUGAACAUAAUCUAAUUUAAAAGUGUUACGAAAAGUAGGGUGUUACAGAAGAAAAGAAUGAAGAGUGAAGACUACUAAACUUUCCUAAGGCUUUCCAGUAUGGUAGGUUUUUUUUAUGUGUGAGGGCCAACGUGGCAAGACAACCUACGCGUGAACACCGCCCCUAGUGUGUGAGUAGGUGCCUUAUGGUGUAGUAGCGGAGACGGACGAAGGCACUUGAAUUAAUCAGGCGAUGCUUUUUUUACCGUUUAUUACUUUUGUGACUGUUAGACUUGUUACAAAUGAAUUUUUUUAUUCAAUUUAAAAAAAUUAACCUCUCUCUCUCUCUCUCUCUCUCUCUCUCUCUCUCUAUAUAUAUAUAUAUAUANNNNNNNNNNNNNNNNNNNNNNNNNNNNNNNNNNNNNNNNNNNNNNNNNNNNNNNNNNNNNNNNNNNNNNNNNNNNNNNNNNNNNNNNNNNNNNNNNNNNNNNNNNNNNNNNNNNNNNNNNNNNNNNNNNNNNNNNNNNNNNNNNNNNNNNNNNNNNNNNNNNNNNNNNNNNNNNNNNNNNNNNNNNNNNNNNNNNNNNNNNNNNNNNNNNNNNNNNNNNNNNNNNNNNNNNNNNNNNNNNNNNNNNNNNNNNNNNNNNNNNNNNNNNNNNNNNNNNNNNNNNNNNNNNNNNNNNNNNNNNNNNNNNNNNNNNNNNNNNNNNNNNNNNNNNNNNNNNNNNNNNNNNNNNNNNNNNNNNNNNNNNNNNNNNNNNNNNNNNNNNNNNNNNNNNNNNNNNNNNNNNNNNNNNNNNNNNNNNNNNNNNNNNNNNNNNNNNNNNNNNNNNNNNNNNNNNNNNNNNNNNNNNNNNNNNNNNNNNNNNNNUAUAUAUAUAUAUAUAUAUAUAUAUAUAUAUCCAACAACAAACACACUUUCAAACAAUAUGAAUAGUUUUGUGGGUUAAAUAUUUUCUUCUUCAUCCGAUGAUGAUGACUCUGAUGAUGAGUUAGUUUUUCACAUAUUGUUGUCCGCGACACUCAACACGGUGCAUCAAAUAGGCGAAAUUUCAAAUGUCAAGAAGAAGCGUAUAAUUUUCAUCAUCCGGGAUCGUAUCGCGACACACGGACUUUUAGUACGUAAUUACUUUGCACCUGAUAGUUUAUACGACCUAUCGAAAUUUGAAGAUCGUUAUCGUAUUAAUAGAAAUUUAUUUUUAUGUGUAGCUAGAGAUUUGACAAACAAUUAUGAGUUUUUUUCAAUUAAGAUGGAUGAUAGAGGUAAACGUUGUUUUAGUAAAAUACAAAAAUGCACAAUAACUCUUAGACAAUUGGCAUACGGCAUAGCCGCAGACGUAUCCAAGGUAAAAUUUUAAUUUCUAUUAUAAUCAAAACACUAUUGUAACUUUGUUCUAAACAUUGAAAAUAUUUCAAUUAACACAAUUAUCAGAGUCCAAUCCCAAAGAUCACAUAUUGUGAAAAACACGGGUGUCUGCGUUGUGGUCAUCCCGAUCUCUUUCAUUUGAAAUCUGGAGUACCUGAAACAUAAACUAAAAACUAUAAGCACAAAGCUUAGUGAGUUCCCAAAUACCAUAUAUUAUACAUAUCCAACAAUCCAUACAUGUCAUACAUAGCCGUGAGCCAUACAUACUAUUCAUAUACUAUAAUCAAUAAGAGUGCUAUGUGCCAACCAUAGUCUUGCCAUUAUGCCACAAGCUACUUCGUGGUCUUUCUUGCAAGGCCUGGGGCCACAACUUUGGGUCUUACAGACAAGUGCCAAGAGCCAUCUCCUGCUCUUCCAUGCAAGCAUCACAAUAACAACUAGCAUACAAACUAUACUACUUAAAUAAUUACUUACCAGAGUUCAGAAUCUGGUCUUGCAUACCGUGUGCCAGGAGCCGCCUCCUGGUCUUUCAUACAUAAUGCCAAGGGCUAACCACGGGUCUUCUUAGAAUACAUAAACAAAAUGGGCUGGCAUUGGUGCCUUCGACCCAUACAACAGUGAUGAGACUUACCUCGAAUGUUGAAGUUCAAUACGAGAAAUCCUUAGUUGUUGCCCUGACAACUUCUUGAGCUAACAAUACCAAAUUAUCACCCAAUUAGCAAUUAGGUUACAAACCAUGAUCCAUAAUCCAUACUUAGGGUAACAUGACCAUUUUACCCCUGGCCCAAAAAGAUUCAUAACUAAGGCCCAAGCCCAAAUCCAACAAGAUCCAAAACCACAAAAUCCAUAAAAGCCUAUUAAUGGCCCAAUUUUCCAAAUUAGGCCCAAUCCCAUACGAGACUUAUCCUAAGCCCAUAUUUUACAAUUCAGAUUGCUUCAAAAAUGCCUUGGAACAAACUUGAUCAAAGGUAUAAGCCAAAAGUCAAAGUCAACGGACCAAGUUGACCCAACUCGCCGAGUUGUCCUUUAACUCGUCAAGUUUCUUCAUUAGAUUGCAAAGAUCGGGCAAAACCCCCCUCAACUCGCUGAGUUCACCAGAAAUCCAACCUCUUAACUCAUUAAGGCGACCUUUUCGAAACUAAGGGCUUCUUAACCCAAAUCUUAAUUGAAAUGGCCUCAAGAAGGGUAAAGUUUCAAACUUUACCCCUAAGAACCAUCAAAAUGGUUUCAAAACCCAAACCCUAAACUUAAAAGGGUAAUGACUUAAUCAUUAAGCACGUAUUCCACAAGGACAUAACUCCAAGAUGCAGAUCUGACCAUAUGAGGCUAGAUGGCCAUGUAAAGUUUCCAACUUUACACUUAUUCAUGAUUAGAAGAAGCUCAAAAGCUUAAAAGAGACCAAAAGGAAGACUUAAUGAAUGCGUGAAGCCCUUAGGACCAUAAAGUUGGCACCUUUAUGCCAAAAGAGCUCAUGAAGAUCAUAUAUCUGGAAAGGAUAAACACUUGGGACUUCUACUUCCUCAACAACCACCCAUCCAUGGCUAAAAGCAUACAAAUAAACCCAAAAAGAGAUUUAAGCCAACACUAAGCAAGGUUAGAGCUUUAUACCCGAAAUAUGCUGGAAAUGGCGUAGAGAACCAAGAUCUAAAAUCUCCUACUUGAACCACCACCUUGCACCAAGCUUGUCUUCCUUCAAUGAGCCUUAAACACACCAAAACACACCCACAAUGAGCUCACAACACUCAAGGAGGCUCUAGGGUUUCAAGAUUAGGGUUAAGGGCUAUGGAGGCUGGAAAUGAGGCCAACACCUGGAUCUUAAGGUAUUUAAAAAGGGUGCAAAACCCCCAAAUUAGGGCUUCCUAAUCAGCGCCCAACUCGUUGAGUUGGCUCCUCCAACUCGUCGAGUUGUCUCAUUAACCUUGUGACCAAAACAACCUCUACUCACCAAGUUGAGUCUACUCAACUCGUCGCGUAGACCCAUUAAAUCCUCAUGAUUCUUCAUCUUCAACUCGCCGAGUUGGCUCCUCCAACUUGCCGAGUUCGACUUGAAAUUGGCAUAAUUCUACAAUUAACCUUCUAGAUUCUGGGUGUUGCAUAAAUGUGUUUGGAACUUCUACGCUAUUUAAUGGCAUUUUGCAGGGUAAAGCACCAAACAUGACAUACCAUGUGAAUGUACAUCAAUAUAAUUAUGGGUAUUACCUUGAUGAUGUGAUAUAUCCAGAGUACGCUACGUUUGUCAAGUCAUACUCAUAUUCGGCCGAUAAAAAACGAAAAUUGUUCAAGCUAGCACAAGAAUCCACAAGGAAUGAUGUGGAACGUGCGUUUGAGGUCCUCAAACAAAAGUGGCACCUAAUUAAACAUCCGAUACGAGAAUGGGUCGUGGAAAAAUUGACGAAUGUGUUGAUAGCUUGUGUUAUUUUACAUAGCAUGAUAAUAGAAGAAGAAGGUAAGGCAAUUUGUAUGUAUAGUCCGGACGACAUACUUCAUCUACUUGUAGUAAUACAAGUCGACAGCCCGACAUACUUCAUCCACUUGCAGUAAUACAAGUCAACAUCUCGACAAACUUCACAAGAGUAUUGAAAAUACAAAGUAGUGAAACACAUCAUAAUUUACGCUACAAUUUGACUGAGCACAUAUGACAAACACAAUCCCAACAACACAAUGAUGACGACGAGGAGAAUGAGGCCGAUGACGACGAGUACGACAAUGACGAAAAAUAGUUUAUUCUAUGUUUUUUAUUUGUUUUUAGUAAUUUAGGUUUUAAAUUUUUAUGUUUUUAAGUAAUUUAGGAUUUAAAUUUGUGUGGUUUUAGUUAACAUAAUGUGUUUCUAAUUAAUAUUUAUGUUUUAUUUUUGUUUAAUAUAUAUCUUUUUAAUUUAUUCUAAUGUAAAAAAAUUAAAAAAAUAAAAAGAUAAAUACAAAGGAGUGGUAACCAUUUCCAAUGACUAACAGUUUGGUGGUAGACAAACUAAUGUGACAUAUAUGUGACAAUACUUUUCUAAUGGAUUGGUGGUUUAGGCUCAAACCCUUUAGGAUUUAGGCUAUGUUUGAUGAACUAGCUGAAAAGCUAGCUGUUAAAUAAAAAAGCUAGCUGAUAGUUGAACAACUAACUGAUAAAAAUAAUGUUUUGGUAAAACUAGCUAAAAUAUAUAAAAUGACCUUUUAAAAGAAUGUGUUUUUAUAAUUAAUUAGGGGGUAUUUAUGGAAUUUUUUUUAAAAAAACUCUCAAAAAGCUAGUCUAAAUAGCAUUUUAAAAAGCUAACUUAUAAGCUACUUUUUGACUUACCAAACACGACAAUAAAAAGCUCAAAAAAUAAGUUAGCCUAUCAGUUAGCUGUUCCGUGCCAAGCAUAACCUUAAAUUAGAUAUCUUAACUAUUUAUAUGAGGUUAAACCUCAUUUCCCUUAAUCUAAUAAAAGAGUACCAUUUAUGCCACGUGUCAUUUGCUUAGCCUCCUCUAAGUUUAUUUUUCCGCUCAUUUCCCUUCAAGUGGAAUUACUAAACUACCCUUCUACAACUUCAAAUUGGUCAACCUUAUAAUCUGCAUAAAGAUUCGUAAUCAAUCUGGUUUAAUUUGCAACAAAUUGAUUGGAGCCGUGAAUUGAGGGAUUCAAGGGAAUGAAAUACGGGCUUGCUCAAUUUUGAUCCUUAAACAUCUUUUGAUUUUUUUUUUAAAUUUGCUUUAUCUACAAUUUCCUAUGAGAUUUGAGGAGAGUAGAUUAGUAAUUUGAAAAAUCUGGUUAUCAACUUAUCAUCCCCUUAUCUUGCACUCCCUUCUUCUACAAAUUAGUGUUUACAUCCUUCAAUUUAUCCAAUUCUCUUUCUUUCUGUCUGUCUCUCUCGCAUAUGAAGAAAUACCUCGGAAAUCCCUAAUCUAUGCUCUCAAUUCUUGAAUCUAGGUUUCAUGAUGGCCUCCUCCCCAUCAUGCCCAUCAAGUUAAAGUUGCCCCACUCACGAUAUGUUUACCUUGUGGAUAUACGAAAAAAGAAAAUGUAGAAUGGAAUGGAAAUGAGGAUGGGCAUCAGAAACAAAAACCAAGAGUAAAAGAACUCGCAUAUUGCUCACCUCUCAAGGUUCUUUUUCUCUCUUUUACUAAUAUUAAAUCUAGCCCUGAUAGUUUGAGUUCCAAAUCACCAAGUUAAAUCAAAUAUAACAAGUUUUGAAUUUAAUGUGUUUUUCUGAGAUGAUUUUGAGAAUUAUUGAUUUUAGAUGUUUGAUUCUUGUGUUUUUGGGAAAUUUAGCACCAAGCGUUAAUUUUUUUGGUUUACAUUAUGAUGUUAGAUAUUUGGGAAAUCAGAUCUUAUUCGAUUGAUAAAAUAUCUUACAAUACAAUUGAAUUAACCUAAUUGAUCUUGAAUAUUCUAGCUAAAAUCGUUAAUUUGGUUUCUCAGAUAAAAUUUGGUCAUGUAAAGAAAGUUGCAAAGGUAAUUUACCUUUUUAAUGAUACAAAAGGCUCUCAUAAUAUUCUGACAUGUAGUUUUGAUAUGCAUCAUAGGUCCAAGAAAUUGGUAAUAUGCGUUAUAGGGGUGCAACAAUAGUAAAUGGUAAGGUAGCUUUUCAAGAUAAAUGAUUUUCAACAUUAGACCCUUAUAUCUAUUUGUUUCUUUAUUGCAUGAAAAUGAUAAGAUUUUUUAUAUGUCAUAGGGCUUCAUCACAAUGGCUUUAUUAGAAAUUUUGAAAGUUUGAUACAGUAAUAAAAACAACUGAAACAAGACUCUAAUUUAAAUAUUAAGAUUGAAGUGUAAGUUGUAUUCUGGAUUUUACUGGGGUUGAACAAAGUCCAUUGCUAUUUCGGGAUAUUCUCAUUGGUACUGAUAAAUCAACUUGGUUGGAGUUGCCUACUGCCUCUUCUAAUAAGUUGUGGUGUUUAAUAUUUCAAGAGGUUUUUUUGUUUGCAGGAUGACGUUUUCCCAAUUUUCUACACAUUAUAACUUUUCUUGAUGCGCUCCUCCGUCUUGAACACAUAACUUUCUCAGUUUCGAAAAGUGAAGCAAAUGAUACAAGAUCAAAAUAUACUUACUGUUUUAAAAAUCUGACCGGGUGGUUUGGUCUGGUUUUCAAAACCUUGCUUGUAGUAUGAUUUUGAGUUUGAUUUUUUUGUUGAUUCUGUAUGCAAGUUUUAAAAUCUGUUUAAAGUUUCUUUCAAUUUUACAUGUUCUAAAAUCUGUCAAGUUAAUCUAUUUUUUGUAAUUAUUAGUUUGCCAUUUUAAACAUUUAUGAUGGUUUCUUUUAAAAUACUAUUUGGUGACUUCAUAUGGAUUACAUUUGAACUAUUCAUUUAGGAGGAAGUGGUAUGAAUUUUUAACUUGACAAAUAACUUUCUUUUUUUAGAAACAGUCUUAUAAAGAAGAUGAAUCAAUAAACAAUCUCCUUAGAAAGGACUAAAAGUUUAAGUAAUUAAUUAGAAAUUAAUCAAAUUAUAGUAUACAGAGAUUAUUGAAAGAGAAAGAUAAAAAUUUAUUGGAAUAUGAAUCAAGUGAUAACGUGAAUUCUAUAUCUUUUGGCAAAAUUAAAGAAGCAUAAGGGCGAAACUACUCACCUAAUGGUUGGUUUCGGUUAAAUCAAUUGAUAUGAUAAUUAGUAUCACUGAUAUGAUAUUAGUUUAUUAUAAUUUUUUAUUUUGUUUUGGUUUUUACUUGCUAAUUGGUUUUCCUUUAUGAUAACAUUUUAGAUUUUUUAAUAUUAUUUUCAAGGUUGCAGAAAAUGUUAGACGUUAGCUAGGCGGUAGACUGGGGUCUAGGGAUUAAUCGGUUAGACGUGGAUUAAUCGAGGGAUUAAUCGGGGACCAUUGAUUAUUAAAAAAAUAAUUCAAAUUUUAUAAAUCUAACUUUAAUACUAAGAAUAUAAGUAAAUAAGCAUAAAAUUUCAAUAAUAACUUAAUAAGUUUACCAAGCACAACCAUUUAUCAUCCAAAAUAAGCAUAAUAGGUUUAGAAUGAGACUGUUCUUCAAUCAGGAAUGAGAUCGAGCACUAUGGUCAUUCUUGUGAUUAACCCAAUAUCAAGCUCUCUCCAUAAUAAUGGUAUACCAAAUAAUUCAACACAAAUCCUCCAAACAAUCUAGUAAUAACUAAUAAUGUAUGCUAUCCAUACCAAAUCUAUGUUUCUAUAUGAAGGUUUUUUUUCACAAGCAGAUAGAAAAAUAAAGUUGUGAAAUAUUAAACCACGUGUUUAAUCCAUCUCCACCCCUCCCACCAUUACUGUUUAUUAAGGACCAAAUGGUAAUUUGCUCCCUCUACACGACAUAUUUGGAUACGGGUACAUGACAACCUACAAAAAAUCAUUACAAAAGUGAGAACAAAAGGAAAUAUUACAAUAUGAAUGAAUGAAAAUGUAACUACUCACUUUUGCAGACAACCACUGAAAUCUUUGAUUGAUUAGCCGAGUUGAAGAUAUUAGUUUCGAACUAUGAAGGAAUUAGUGACUUUGUCCAAAAUUAUGCCAUUUUUAGGAAAUCCUAACCUCAUUGAAAUAGAAUUAAAUCUUGAUUUCCAUGAAUUUGUAACUGUUUGGAACUAUGAAGGGCCUGCUUGAUCUUAAUCAGGAAGAGAUGAUUGACUACUUGAGCUUCUGUAGGAAGACCAAAUGAUUCAGUCAAGAAAUACAAUUUGAUUCCCAAAGUUGAAAAACAAAUAUGGGUUUUCAUUCCUUUCGUAAUAAUAACUGUUAUGUAAACUAAAUCUCGGGGUCUAUGUGAAGCAACAGGUAAACUCAAUCUUCCAACAGAAAAAAUCGGUUGAUUUGUGAACAGACUUACGUCUUCAAUGUGAAGCACAGGUUCGACUAUAUACUUCAUCACCAGUUCAUCACAAAUCGGUUAAUUAACAACUUAAAUCGACGACAAUAGACUAAAUCAGAAUUUGACAGCACAAAUCAGUUGAUUAACAACAUAAUUUAACUAAAUCGACGACAACUAACCUGUGUAGAUUCGGCAGAGUUCACAGAUUUCGGCGAUGGUGAGGGCGAAGUUCACAGAUUCCGAUGAUGGCUAGGGCGAGUCCUUCGGUUCUUCACAAAUCAGUUGAGGACGAGUCCUUCAGUUCUUCACGAUAUUAAUAGAGGUUAAUCAGUAAAGUCGAAGUUUGAAGAACUAACCGUGUAGAUGAUAAAGACCGAUGUUGCUGUCGGAAGAAAAAUGAGGCUCUAACAGCGACGAAGGUGGAGGAGAAACGGAAGGGUGCGCUCGGAUUUCAUGGAUUCCAGCUUCAAGAGGUGAUGGCGAGGACGAGGGUGAGCUUCAAGCUCUCUGAUUUCGGUUUUGAGUCGAGAGAAAAAGUGAGAAAUCACAGAAAACGUUUUCACAGGGGGAUGAUUGAAUGAGAAGUGAGAACGAACCCUAGCAAAACUUUUCAAUUUUGACAAUUUUGCCCCUAUUUUUUUUUGAAAAUCCGUUGACCAAAGUUGAUCAAUUAAACCGCCUAGACCGAUUAGACUCGAUUAGCUCCGAGUUUGACCGGCGUUGACCAACCCCGAUUACCUUGAGCGAUUACACAUAAACGUAGUCGGUUGCAGUCCGCCUAGCGCCUAGGCGUCGAUUAAUCGGCCGCCUAGGCCGAUUUUUACAACACUGAUUAUUUUGAUGGUUGUUAAUGUGAAGUUGUCUUAAUUAAAGUCUAAAUAAAAUUUAUAUCUUAUUAAUUUAAUAAAAUUUUACAAAUCUUCUGUCCGUGUUUUCCACGAGUUGUAACCUAGUAUAUUAAUCAAACAAUCUAUUAUUUUAUAGACAAAAACAACUUCAAUCAACAAAAUCAAAACUUUAAUCUAUCAUUAAUAAAAACAAAUAAAAACAUCAUGCUUAAGCUCGAGCACCGAAGUACAUUCCUCUCUGCCUAAAUUGAUAAACAAGGCGUCAAUCAACCAUUAAUAGUUCUUACAUUAUCGACUAAUUUACUAUCACUCAACUUUCAUAGACUGUCUUGGAAUUCAAAUCAACAGUAGCAAAUGAGCAUUGUUACAAAGAGGAGUGCCUAGCUUUAUAAGCGUUGUAGAAUCUAUCACUAAUCAAAAUCACUUGAACUUAUCUAGGUCUGACAAUGGAGCGGGUUUUAACCCUGAUUCGAUUCAAACCCUUAAGAAUUAUAUGAGUUUGGAGCAUACUUUUUGAUUCGUUUACCCGUUAACGACCCAUACCCGCUAACCGUUUAUUAAAAUGGUCGGGUAUGGAUCAUCACUGAUCCGCUCCGUUUAUAACCUGUCCCGUAUAAUUUUUGAAUUAUUGGUUUAUAGUUUAUAUUGCUUAAAGUUUAAUUUUAAUUCCAAUCAAAAGUCCACAAGGAAAAUGCCAAAGUCCAAACUGUUUAUACAUGAGAAUCAAGGAGUCGGUUUCUAGACUUUCAGUUUUCUACUAAGAAUUAUGAUGUUAUUUCAUUUAUAUUUCAUCAAGCUAUCAUCAUAUUUCAUUCAUAAAUCAACAAAUUUAUUCUUCAACUGAAAGAAAGUUUGUCAUUGCUAUUCUCUAUCACUAUUUGACAGUAAAAAAUAAAUCAGAAGUUAUUACAAUAGUGAUUUUUAAUUCCAAUGGGAAGUCCUCGACUAGGUAAUGUGUUUUCUAAAUCAACAUUUGCUUUAUUUAAUAAAUAUUAUUUUAUGAAUUAAGUAAAAUGUGUUUGAUAAUUCAAAAAGCCUAUGAGUUAUGGGCGAGUUUGGAUAUCGUUGAUUCGGUGGAUAAGGGUAUGGAUUUGAUUAUUCAAAACCCUAUGGGUUACGGAGCAAGUUUGGAUCGGAUUUUGAAAUAUUUUAAAAGGGUUUGGAUCAAUGUCGAUUCACUACAAACCUGCCUCAUUGCCAGGUCGGUCUAGUUGCAUGGAAAGAGGAGGGCGGCGCUAGCGACAAAUAAGGAAGAAAGAGGGUGGCGAUGGAGGUUUCAUGGCACCAAUCACAGGUUUGGAAGAAGCGAGGUGUGAAGAAGAAAGCGGGAUUACGGAAAGAGGCGACAGGUGUCAAGUUUUCAUUCAACCAAGGAGAGAUUCAGACGUUAGCUGAGCUAUUCAGAUGCACAAAUACAAUGAACUAAAUCGUUUUGAAUCUGACCAAUUAAGAGCUGAUAUCCGAAUAGAACCAUUAAAAAAAACACCCUUAACCUUAUAUAAAAACUUUUCAACCACUAAACUAACUUUAUUAUACACUAGUUUAAUUAGAUUUGAAUAAUCUAAAUUAUUAUUAUAUCCCUCAUGCCAUAUUAUAAUGCCAAUUGCCAAAUACAUCUUCAUCAUCAUCUCUCUCUCACACACACACACACAAUUUUGCGGUGUUGUCUCGUUUACUUGGAUUAUUUUAACUUACAUAACAAAAAAAAGUUCAAACUCAAAAAAAUUAUCAUACAGCAAUGAUUAUAAUUAGGGAUCCAAAUACCCUGGGGAACUUUAUACGUGAAACACCUCGAAAUUGUAGUAGAGAACAAUUUCAUCAAGAUUCAAGAACACAAAUAUAAUUCACUAGAACACAAUCUAUGAUUCAAAUUCUGCAUACGAAUAAUUUAUUAUAUAAAUAUUCUUUCAUCAAUCUCUAAUGACAUAAACAUACAUACAAAUUUAUAUACCCAAACAAGAAAAAUGACCCACAAACAUUCAAGACCAAUAAACUUCGCAAAAUCAAGAAAAGUUCCAAGAUUUUGAGAUAGAAAUCACCUCUUUUUUCUGCGGUUUUGGGUAGAAGGUUUGUUUUUUACAGGUUUACCAAAGAUGGUGCAGAUGGCACCACAACCAGAGAGCCUUGGUGAAGGUGGGUCAAUUGUGGGUGCAACAUCCAUGGUCUUAUAGGGUCUUGGCUCUACUCUUUGUGGCUCUUUUUUCUCCUUUUCUUCUUCUUCUUUUGGCUUAAAAAGCUCUCCUGAUAACAACUUAUCAUCCCAUACUAGCCCUGAUGAACCGGAUCUUUUAUAUGACACAUCUGACCUUGCUAAUCCAGCCAUCUAUGAUCUAUAUCUCUCUCUCUGAAAUGGGGUUUUGAUCUUGAGAGAGAAAGAGAUAGAGAGAGAAAGAAAGUCAAGGGCAGAAAUAUGGCUGUCUUUACUUGUUAUAUGGAGAGGGGGAGGGGAGUAAAAGACAAAUGAAGCAUAAAGAGAGGGUAAUUACGGUCAGAAGAUGGCAUCGACAAGAGGUGUGAAAUUACAAUAAUAUCCUUGUGUUCUUGGGAUUUCAGAAUUUAAUAAGCAAAGUUGAGUCACAACGGCGGUUUUCAAAGUUGCCACUUGCCCGUUGCCACCUAAAGUCAAACGAGAACGGCGAAGGAUUAAGUACAUUGUCAUUUAAUAAUAAGACAAAAUUUCAGAAAUGGUCCCUGUGUUUUUUUAAAAAGUUGCAAUUUGAGGAAUUCUUUCACAAACGCUUCGAAUAUGUCUAUAUAGUUUCUAAAAGUUGCAUGGUUGGUCCUUUUUCGAUGACAACAUGCACCGAAUGAAUGUCGAAUGCAUAUUUUCUCUAAGAACAUGCACCAAGUGGAAUGAACAAUAAAGACGAAAGUUUUUAUUGUUGAGGGACCAAUUUUGAAAUGCUGUAAGGGAAAAUUGUUUCAUCGGACGCCUGAAGACUAGAAAGAAUUAUUUUCUUAGAGUUAUGAUAAUGACAGUGAAAACUACUGUGUUGGGAUGGAUACUUGAGAAAAACAUACAUAGUAGAACAAGGAGCUAAUUCGAGGGACACUCAAGUGAGCAGUGGCGGACGCAGACUGUUUUAGUAGGGGUGUCCCUCGUACUUCAAGCGGGUGCCCCUAAUAGAAAAAAAAAAAAAAAAAUUUACACUGCGUGCCGGAAAUUGAGCAGUGGCCCGGGACCCCAAAGGCCCUACAUAGGUCCGCCACUGCAAGUGAGGGUAACAUAGUCAACUAAAUACAUGUAGAUGAGAGUAUGGAUGCUUAUAAUUAAUGAGACAAGUAAAAUGUAUGAUAGUUUGAAACUUUGAAUGGGCAUGGAGGGUAGGAUGUUGAGUAGNNNNNNNNNNNNNNNNNNNNNNNNNNNNNNNNNNNNNNNNNNNNNNNNNNNNNNNNNNNNNNNNNNNNNNNNNNNNNNNNNNNNNNNNNNNNNNNNNNNNNNNNNNNNNNNNNNNNNNNNNNNNNNNNNNNNNNNNNNNNNNNNNNNNNNNNNNNNNNNNNNNNNNNNNNNNNNNNNNNNNNNNNNNNNNNNNNNNNNNNNNGCCAUAAUAAUAUUAUGAGGGCAUGUGUAAAUGGAGUAAAAUAGUGCAAAAAAUAUUAUUGAUAGGGCGAUUCCCAUUUUGGUGGGAGGUAUGGGACAUGAAAACUGAAUUUGAAUGUCAUUUUUGUCAAAUAGAUUUUGAAAGAGUUUAUAUCGAAUUCCCGUUAUUCCCCCAUGAUCACAUUAAAAGGUUUUAAUAUAAAAAAUUGAAUUGCUUGUGAACGAUGAUUAAGGAAACAAGACACGCUAUUUAUUGUCACCAGCACUAGAAGCCGGCGAUAUCCACAAAUUAGAUUGCAUAAUAUUGAAUGAUGCAUUAACACUUCAAGUAUAAAUAGAAGAGAGAACCUAACAAAUUUUCCUAAUUUAGAGCAUGAAAAAUAUAUAUAGGAGAGUUCGGCAAAAAUAGCGGGUAGCAAGUAGCUUCUAACUAGUAGCGUUUUGUUAAACGCUACGUGAAAUAACUGUAGCACCUGGUUCUUGGUACGUAUUCUUUUAUUAAUUCUUUAAAAUAUGUCGCAUUUUGGCCUUGGACUCAGCGAGUUGAAGGACCAACUCGCCGAGUAGAAGCGGGUUGAGACACGGGGUUUAAGCAGUGGACUCGACGAGUCGGGUCCCGGACUCAGCGAGUAGGCCCUGUCUGGACAAAAACCCUAACCCGAGGGUUUGCACCCUAUUGAAACACCUUAACUCGGCCUCCUUCGUCCCAUUUGCUCCCAGAAGCCCCCCAUAGCAAACUCUAGCCAUUAUUGAAGCAAUCUAAGGCAUUUGGAGUGAUUUUGGUGCUUUUGUGACCCAAGGAAGGAAGGAAAAGCUUGAAGGAUCAAGAGGAGGCUAGACGGAUCCGACUUUGAGCAUCAUUUGCAGUCUAUAGAAGGUAUAAAGUCUAUACCUUGUUUGUUCUUUUGAUAGAUCCCAUUUUGUGGAGUUCUAGGGCUUUUCUAAGCCAUUUUGGUCACCAAACAUGAUUGCAAGCAUGGUUAGGGGUUGAUGUUUCGGAUCUAGAUCCUCAGAGGGGUUACAAGGCAGGAAGGAGUGGCUUUUGCACUCAAGGAAGGCCCCAUGCAUUGUAAGAGCUUGUUUUAGGACCUUUUGAGCUCAAAGUCCCAUGCAAGCACGUAAAGGUUGUAACUUUACAUGCUAGAUCGAUUGUAGAAGCAUAGAUCUAUCUUUUGAUCAAGGGUUGUACAUCAGAAAUCGAAGAUUUAGUGAGAGGAUGUGACCAACUCGACGAGUCCAUUCUUGGACUCGGCGAGUCCAAGGUUUCUGUCCCAUAUCAGUUGAGGGUCAAAAGGACCCAAUUGAGUGUGGAAAGGUUUUAGGGAGUCCCGGGGAGUGACCCAACGUUCUGGACUAAGCCAUUGUUCUGGAAGUUCAUGGGACUCGGCGAGUGCAUGAACGGACUCAGCGAGUCCAAGGCAAUCUUCUAAGGAUGAAGAUGAACUCGACGAGUUGUUCAUACAACUCGGCGAGUCAAGGACAAGACUUGUGUAUCAGUUGAAGUUGAACUCGACGAUUUGUUCAUACAACUCGGCGAGUCAGAUGAAGAUUCAGUCGAUGUUCAAUUAGAAGGAAAACUCGUCGAGUUAUCGCCUAACUCGAAGAGUAGAGAUGGGUAUAAGGACAAAUGGAAGGAUAUGGACUCGGCGAGUUGGCAAGCCAACUCGGCGAGUCAGGUCAACUGGAAGUUGACUUUAACUUUGACUUGGUCAGGGGUAAAAUGGUUAUUUUACCCUAAGAACAGUUAGCAGUGUAUGACUAAGGGUUUUGUGGGAAUUAUAGCCGGAGGAUUUCCGGAGCAGCAGCAGCAGCAGUUAAAGGAUUCUCGUACAGAUCAGCAGCUACUACGAGGUGAGUUACCUUCCAGUAGCGGUGGGUCUACGGCCACAAUUACGGCCCACCAGUAGGAGUUGUAUGUUAGAUGAUUGUCUUUGUGAU